GGGGUUGACUGGAUUUGACAGCCGGAUGAGAUGGUACGUAAGCAUGCGGAGUGAAGACUGUGGACUCCCUAAUCAAUUCGGUCAAAAAUUUAUCUGGCGAAAACAAGUAUGCUCUCGCUGCCUAAUCGAAGUACAGUAGAUUACUGGCUUUAUCCUGUCACCAGGUGACGGGACGAGACAUCACUCAGACGCUGUUGUUCCGAAGCUGUCUGGUAAAGUGGUGCAGUUAAAUCGGAAAUAGUUGUCUGCAGCCCCGUGCAGGCAAUGAGAUUCAGGGGAUAAGGCUGUUGUUGGUGGUCCGGGUCUUGCAACGGCACGAAAACCGAAGUCCGGAAUAAGCAUGUAGAAAGCGUAUGGUUUCCCGGUUUGGACGAGGGUUCGAUUCCCUCCAGCUCCACAA
rnacentral:tmRNA from 1 species